rnacentral:rRNA from 1 species
UACGGAGGGGGCUAGCGUUGUUCGGAAUUACUGGGCGUAAAGCGUGCGCAGGCGGUUCGUUGUGUCGGCGGUGAAAGCCCCGGGCUUAACCUGGGAAUGGCCGUCGAAACUGGCGAACUGGAGUGUGGCAGAGGGGGGUGGAAUUCCGCGUGUAGCAGUGAAAUGCGUAGAGAUGCGGAGGAACACCGAUGGCGAAGGCAGCCCCCUGGGCUGACACUGACGCUCAGGCACGAAAGCGUGGGGAGCAAACAGG